rnacentral:snoRNA from 1 species
GAGUGACAUGAUGCAAUUACCAUCUUUCGGGACUGACACAGCAAUGGAGAACUACUUUUAGUAUUACUGAUCACUC